AAUUCGAAGCCAUGGAGGUGGUUUAUUGCUUACAUUUUAAAUGGCUGAACUUAAAGAACAGUCUCCUGGACCCACAAUCCAUCAUCAAGUCUGUGCAGAUGGCUUUGGUUUAUUCUCACGCCCCAUAGUUUCCCACUCCCUCACAGGGAGAAUCUUCCUGCAAGGUGAAUAUGAAAGUGAGCUUAAAAAAACCCUUAGAUCACAUUACCUUGAGCUUAUACAAC
rnacentral:lncRNA from 1 species